rnacentral:rRNA from 1 species
AGAUUAAGUUAUUAAGGGCGCACGGUGGAUGCCUUGGCACUAGAAGCCGAUGAAGGACGUUACUAACGACGAUAUGCUUUGGGUAGCUGUAAGUAAGCGUUGAUCCAGAGAUUUCCGAAUGGGGGAACCCAGCAUGAGUUAUGUCAUGUUAUCGACAUGUGAAUUUAUAGCAUGUCAGAAGGCAGACCCGGAGAACUGAAACAUCUUAGUACCCGGAGGAAGAGAAAGAAAAAUCGAUUCCCUGAGUAGCGGCGAGCGAAACGGGAAGAGCCCAAACCAACAAGCUUGCUUGUUGGGGUUGUAGGACACUCUAUACGGAGUUACAAAAGAACAUGUUAGACGAAUCAUCUGGAAAGAUGAAUCAAAGAAGGUAAUAAUCCUGUAGUCGAAAACAUAUUCUCUCUUGAGUGGAUCCUGAGUACGACGGAGCACGUGAAAUUCCGUCGGAAUCUGGGAGGACCAUCUCCUAAGGCUAAAUACUCUCUAGUGACCGAUAGUGAACCAGUACCGUGAGGGAAAGGUGAAAAGUACCCCGGAAGGGGAGUGAAAGAGAACUUGAAACCGUGUGCUUACAAGUAGUCAGAGCCCGUUAAUGGGUGAUGGCGUGCCUUUUGUAGAAUGAACCGGCGAGUUACGAUCUGAUGCAAGGUUAAGCAGCAAAUGUGGAGCCGCAGCGAAAGCGAGUCUGAAUAGGGCGUUGAGUAUUUGGUCGUAGACCCGAAACCAGGUGAUCUACCCUUGGUCAGGUUGAAGUUCAGGUAACACUGAAUGGAGGACCGAACCGACUUACGUUGAAAAGUGAGCGGAUGAACUGAGGGUAGCGGAGAAAUUCCAAUCGAACUUGGAGAUAGCUGGUUCUCUCCGAAAUAGCUUU